GUUCCGUGCAAUGCCUGCUUGGCGCAUGCGUCAUGUAUUUGGCCCAGGAAAGGGGAUCAAAAACGAAUGAGUAAAAAAAGUAGAGAGAGAAAGAUUUGGGGAGUAGGAGUGAGAAAUUCCCUCAUACGUCCACACAACAAAAUGUUGGGAAGAGGAGUUGAAGACACAGAACCCUAUUAGAGACAAAGACCAAUGGUUCACAGUCCUAAAUGAAGGACACUGGUGGGGGUGAUGAGCCUGUUGGGGUCAUGGUUUCCGAACAGCCUCUGUCAGUUGUCUACGUUUGGAGAUCCCGCGCCAUCUGCUGGUCAUUCUGGGGAAUGAUACUUGACAGCCUGGAGGCACCCCACCACCACUCCCAUUGAGCCGCACCUUGGAGGAUUCCAGGAGUCUUCGUGGAGCUUUGGGGAAAAGCUAAGCUUCGCAGUGUCAUGCUUUCCACGCUGCAGACUGGGCACAGCUUGUUCCCGAAGGCCUCCUGGAUCCGCAGAACCAGGCAUUUGUGGUGGGCCUCAUCCAUGGCGUAGAAGUGGUUGAAAUCCAGGAAGAUGAUCUCUUGCGGGUGCUGAGUGAGGAAUGCAUCAAUCUCCAUCAACCCAUCCCAAACCUUGAUGCCAAAGAGCCCAUGGAUGAAAUAGAUCUCUUGGUCGGUGUCCCCCGGCUUGGAAGACACACGCAGGUCAAAGUAGCGGAUGCCAGCCUCCAGCUGCUCCCGGAAGGUCAGGUUCUGAGUUACAGACCACUUCUUCAUUAGCUUCUUCACCAAGGAGAUCCGGGCGAGGCGUUUGACAGCUUGGGUUUGGUCAGGCCCCACUGGGGACUUUUCAUCUACCCAGUAGCUGAAUGAAUCAUGGGAGCCUGAACAGAACAAUAAAGGAAGAAGACGGGAGUUGAGACUACUCAACUGAUAAGAAACAACAGCCCAAAUACAUUAUAAAUAAAUACUUGCAAAAACUUUCUAGCCUGCUGGGAAUAAAAUAAACACAAGCGAAA